rnacentral:rRNA from 1 species
AACGUAGGAUCCGAGCGUUGUCCGGAAUCACUGGGUGUAAAGGGUGCGUAGGCGGGCGUGCGCGUCAAGGGUUAAAGACCUCGGCUCAACCGAGGGAAUGCCCUUGAUACGGCAGGUCUUGAGUGCGGGAGAGGGUGGUGGAAUUCCUGGUGUAGCGGUGAAAUGCGUAGAGAUCGGGAAGAACACCUGAGGCGGAAGCGCGCAACUGGGCCUCAACUGACGCUGAGGUACGAAAGCUAGGGGAGCGAAUGGG